GAAUCAACUUAAAUCUUUGUUAUAUACAAUAUACAAUGUAUAUACACUUUUUACUACCAACUGAUAAAUUUAAAUAAUCUUUACCAUUCAGUGAUAACAAGCAGUUUUUUUACAUCUUAAUAUUUUAUGAUGUAUUUAAAUGAGUAGUUAUUGUUGCAAACUCCAUUAGAAAUUUGAAUUGAUAUCAGUUUUGAAAAAGGGAAACGGGGAUGUGAAAAAAAAGAGGGGGUUAAAUUUUUUCUCAUUUCAGAUUUCAUAAAUAAAAAGAAAAUUUCUUCAAACAUUUUUUUGAGAGGAUUAAUAUUCAACAGCAUAGUGCUCAAAGGCAAAAAAAAACCUUUUAAGUUCAUUAGACCACAUUCAUUCUGUGUCAGAAACCUAUGCUGUGUCAACUAUUUAAUUUUAGAUUUAAAAGUUUGAAGAAGAAUCUUUAAUAGAUUUUAUAAAAUCUUGGCAUUUGUUUUUGUGUAAAAAAAACCCAUGUAAUGUCAAAAAUUUGAUCACAAUCCAAAUUCAGAGCUGUAUCAUGCUUGAAUGUUUUGUCCAUACUUGCCC
rnacentral:lncRNA from 1 species